CGGGACACGUGGUAUCCUGUCUGAAUAUGGGGGGACCAUCCUCCAAGGCUAAAUACUCCUGACUGACCGAUAGUGAACCAGUACCGUGAGGGAAAGGCGAAAAGAACCCCGGCGAGGGGAGUGAAAAAGAACCUGAAACCGUGUACGUACAAGCAGUGGGAGCCUCUUUAUGGGGUGACUGCGUACCUUUUGUAUAAUGGGUCAGCGACUUAUAUUCUGUAGCAAGGUUAACCGAAUAGGGGAGCCGAAGGGAAACCGAGUCUUAACUGGGCGUUAAGUUGCAGGGUAUAGACCCGAAACCCGGUGAUCUAGCCAUGGGCAGGUUGAAGGUUGGGUAACACUAACUGGAGGACCGAACCGACUAAUGUUGAAAAAUUAGCGGAUGACUUGUGGCUGGGGGUGAAAGGCCAAUCAAACCGGGAGAUAGCUGGUUCUCCCCGAAAGCUAUUUAGGUAGCGCCUCGUGAAUUCAUCUCCGGGGGUAGAGCACUGUUUCGGCAAGGGGGUCAUCCCGACUUACCAACCCGAUGCAAACUGCGAAUACCGGAGAAUGUUAUCACGGGAGACACACGGCGGGUGCUAACGUCCGUCGUGAAGAGGGAAACAACCCAGACCGCCAGCUAAGGUCCCAAAGUCAUGGUUAAGUGGGAAACGAUGUGGGAAGGCCCAGACAGCCAGGAUGUUGGCUUAGAAGCAGCCAUCAUUUAAAGAAAGCGUAAUAGCUCACUGGUCGAGUCGGCCUGCGCGGAAGAUGUAACGGGGCUAAACCAUGCACCGAAGCUGCGGCAGCGACACUAUGUGUUGUUGGGUAGGGGAGCGUUCUGUAAGCCUGCGAAGGUGUACUGUGAGGUAUGCUGGAGGUAUCAGAAGUGC
rnacentral:rRNA from 1 species